CUUGGGGGGAGGGGUCCCUCAGCCCAGAUUGCGAGAGGUUGCAGGCCAGGCUGAGGAACCCCAUUGGUGCACG
rnacentral:pre_miRNA from 1 species